rnacentral:rRNA from 1 species
CAGAACGAACGCUGGCGGCAUGCUUAACACAUGCAAGUCGAACGCGAAAGGGACUUCGGUCCUGAGUAAGUGGCGCACGGGUGAGUAACGCGUAGAUAACCUGUCUUCAUGUCUGGAAUAAUACGCCGAAAGGGGUACUAAUACCGGAUAUUCUUGCUUUUCAUAAGUUAUGCAAGCAAAGGUGGCCUCUGCAUAUGCUACUGCAUGAAGAGGGGUCUGCGUACCAUUAGCUAGUAGGUGGGGUAAUGGCCUACCUAGGCGACGAUGGUUAGCGGGUCUGAGAGGAUGAUCCGCCACACUGGCACUGGAACACGGGCCAGACUCCUACGGGAGGCAGCAGUGAGGAAUAUUGCGCAAUGGGGGAAACCCUGACGCAGCGACGCCGCGUGAGUGAAGGAAGGCCUUCGGGUCGUAAAGCUCUGUCAAGAGGAAAGAAGUGUACAAUGGCUAAUACCUGUUGUAUUUGACGGUACCUCUAAAGGAAGCACCGGCUAACUCCGUGCCAGCCGCAGC